rnacentral:rRNA from 1 species
AGAGUUUGAUCCUGGCUCAGGAUGAACGCUAGCUACAGGCUUAACACAUGCAAGUCGAGGGGAAACGACAUCGAAAGCUUGCUUUUGAUGGGCGUCGACCGGCGUACGGGUGAGUAACGCGUAUCCAACCUGCCCACCACGUUGGGGAUAACCUUGCGAAAGUAAGACUAAUACCCAAUGAUAUCUCUAGAAGACAUCUGAAAGAGAUUAAAGUAUUUAUCGGUGAUGGAUGGGGAUGCGUCUGAUUAGCUUGUUGGCGGGGUAACGGCCCACCAAGGCAACGAUCAGUAGGGGUUCUGAGAGGAAGGUCCCCCCACAUUGGAACUGAGACACGGUCCAAACUCCUACGAGAGGCAGCA